rnacentral:rRNA from 1 species
UCGGGAAUUUUGGGCAAUGGGGGAAACCCUGACCCAGCAACGCCGCGUGAAGGAUGAAGUAUUUCGGUAUGUAAACUUCGAAAGAAUAGGAAGAAUAAAUGACGGUACUAUUUAUAAGGUCCGGCUAACUACGUGCCAGCAGCCGCGGUAAUACGUAGGGACCAAGCGUUGUUCGGAUUUACUGGGCGUAAAGGGCGCGUAGGCGGCAUGACAAGUCACUUGUGAAAUCUCUGGGCUUAACCCAGAACGGCCAAGUGAUACUGUCGCGCUAGAGUGCAGAAGGGGCAAUCGGAAUUCUUGGUGUAGCGGUGAAAUGCGUAGAUAUCAAGAGGAACACCUGAGGUGAAGACGGGUUGCUGGGCUGACACUGACGCUGAGGCGCGAAAGCAAGGGGAUCAAACAGGAUUAGAUACCCUCGUAGUCCCUGAGCGGGCUGGCAAGGCGCAU